GAUGAACGCUGGCGGCGUGCCUAAUACAUGCAAGUCGAGCGAACAGACGAGGAGCUUGCUCCUCUGACGUUAGCGGUGGACGGGUGAGUAACACGUGGAUAGCCUACCUAUAAGACUGGGAUAACUUCGGGAAACCGGAGCUAAUACCGGAUAACAUGUUGAACCGCAUGGUUCAACAGUGAAAGACGGUCUUGCUGUCACUUAUAGAUGGAUCCGCGCCGCAUUAGCUAGUUGGUAAGGUAACGGCUUACCAAGGCAACGAUGCGUAGCCGACCUGAGAGGGUGAUCGGCCACACUGGAACUGAGACACGGUCCAGACUCCUACGGGAGGCAGCAGUAGGGAAUCUUCCGCAAUGGGCGAAAGCCUGACGGAGCAACGCCGCGUGAGUGGAGAAGGUCUUCGGAUCGUAAAACUCUGUUAUUAGGGAAGAACAAAUGUGUAAGUAACUAUGCACGUCUUGACGGUACCUAAUCAGAAAGCCACGGCUAACUACGUGCCAGCCGCCGCCGUAA
rnacentral:rRNA from 1 species